rnacentral:rRNA from 1 species
GAACUUCAAUAGUCAAUUAACAUAUGAUUGCUUGUAUUUGAGUGCAUUUUCAAGGUAUUAACUGAACCUGGAUCUAUAAUUAUUAGAGCUAAUCAAAUGAAUUUAAUUUGGUAGCAAAAUCUUCACGGGUUUUGUGUUUAAAUUAGGUUUUAAAUUUGAUUUGGCAUUAUAGGUAGAUAGACAUGUUUUUUGAUUUCAGUACUAUGUACGACAUCCUAUGAGCAUUUUUUGUAUUACAUAGAUGACUAAAUUUUACAAUUUAGCUUUGUUUAUUCAAGUGCAUAAUGUUUUGUAGGUGUCAUUGAAAUCGGCAAGUCUUCAGGAGUAUUGAAUGCCGAGUUAUUCGACCCGUCUUGAAACACGGUCUAAGGAGUUCACUGCAUGUGCAAGAAUUCGGUUGUAUGAAAAACCUUGUUCGUAAUGAAAGUAAAGAACAUUUUUACAAUGUUCGAAAUAUGAUUUCUAUUAUUUUAUUAUAGUAAUGAACGCAAUAUUGGCAGGUUCUAUUACCCUUGGUAAAGAGCUUAGCAAGAGUAUAUGCAAUGAGACCCGAAAGAUGGUGAACUUUACCUGAAUAGAAUGAAGUCAGGGGAAACCCUGGUGGAAGUUCGUAGCGGUUCUGACGUGCAAAUCGAUCGUCAAACAUGCAUUAAGGGGCGAAAGACUAAUCGAACCAUCUAGUAGCUGGUUCCGUCCGAAGUUUCCCUCAGGAUAGCUGGCAUUCAAUUUUCACAGUUAUAUCCGGUAAAGCGAAUGUUUAUAGGCAUUGGGCGUAAAAUACGCUCAACCUAUUGACAAACUUUAAAUGGGUAUGAAGUUCAUUUUUCUACUUCAUUGAAAAUGAACAGCGAAUGUGAGUGCCAAGUGGGCCAUUUUUGGUAAGCAGAACUGGCGCUGUUGGAUGCACAAAACGUCAAGAUAAAGAGCCAGAUGGUCUCGCUCAUCAGAUACCAUAAAAGGUGUUGGUCGAUAUAGACAGCAGGACGGUGGCCAUGGAAGUCGGAAUCCGUUAAGGAGUGUGUAACAACUCACCUGCCGAAUCGACUAGUCCUAAAAAUGGAUGGCGCUCGAGCGAGCCUCUUAUACUUGACUGUUACGAUACAACAAGCCAUUAACGGACAUCAUGUCGUAACAAGUAGGACGGUUGAUAUGGUUGCGUCAAAGGCUAACACGUGAGUGUGGCUUGAGCAGUCAUAUGUACAGAUCUUAGUGGUAGUAGCAACUAUUCAAAUGAGAACUUUGAAGACUGACGUGGAGAAAGGUUCCAUGUGAACAGCUAUUGGACAUGGGUCAGUCAGUCCUAAGAUGCGCUCGAAAGAGGGUUCCGAACGAGGAAUAUUUAUUCUUAUAUAUAUUCCAUCAAAUCGAAAGGGAAACAAGUUAAUAUUCUUGUACUAAGUGUCGGAGAUUGUUUGGCUUAUGUCAAACAUAUGUGGUAACACAAACAAGCUCAAAUACAUCACAAGUGGUCCUGGAAAGAGUUUUCUCUUCUUUGUUACUUCAUCAGACGACCCUGGAAUCAGUUCAACUGGAGAUAGGGUUCAAAUGAAGGUAAAGAGUAGCCGUUCUUGCUACUUCCUCGGUGCAUCAUUUGUGGUCCUUGAAAAUUUGAGCGAGAUAAUCAAUUUCGCACUUAUCUGUACUCUAAACCGCAUCAGGUCUCCAAGGUGAAAAGCCUCUAGUCAAUUAGAACAAGGUAGCACAAGGGAAGUCGGCAAAAUCGAUCGGCAACUUCGGGAUAACGAUUGGCUCUAAGUGCUAGGGUGUUCGGGCUUGAUGAUAAAGCAGUAGACUUGCUAUUGGAGCUGAGCUUUCGGAUACAGCAAUGUGUCUGAUCGUUCGGACUAGUGGCUUGUCUUGCUGUGGAAUCGUUUUGCUACGGUAUGCGAGUCGCUUGCGGUUCGUAUUACUUCGGACAUCGUUUAAUAGCAAACUUAGAACUCGCUGCGUCUAGGGGAAUCCGACUGUCUAGUUAAAACAGAGCUUUGCGAUUGGCCGGAAAACUUGGUGUUGACGCAAAGUGAUUUCUGCCCAGUGCUCUGAAUGUUAACGUGAAGAAAUUCAAACAAGCGCGGGUAAACGGCGGGAGUAACUAUGACUCUCUUCUGGUAGCCAAAUGCCUCGUCAUCUAAUUAGUGACGCGCAUGAAUGGAUUAACGAGAUUCCCACUGUCCCUGUCUACUAUCUAGCGAAACCACAGCCAAGGGAACGGGCUUGGACUUCAAUGCGGGGAAAGAAGACCCUGUUGAGCU